AUGAACAUUAGGGUGAGAAGAGAUCGAGAGAAGAAUAGUUUGAUCAUCUUGUGAGAAAAAUAAUGGCUGCUUCAGUGAUGCUAUCUUCGGUGACAUUGAAACCAGCUGGUUUCACGGUGGAGAAGACGGCGGCUAGAGGAUUACCGUCGCUCACAAGAGCUCGUCCCUCCUUCAAAAUUGUCGCCAGUGGCGUCAAGAAGAUCAAGACCGACAAGCCCUUCGGUUCGUUUAUAUUAUUAUUACACAGACUUUUACAACAUAUACACGUUACCGUUCAUGUAUAGCUUAUU
rnacentral:sRNA from 1 species